GCAGUUGCUGAAGCUAUAAAGGAGGCCAUUUGGAUACAUGGGCUGAUUAGAGAUUUGGGGGUUGAUCAGAAGCAGGUGGAGGUACAUUGUGAUAGUCAGAGUGCCAUUUAUUUGGCUAAGUAUCAGGUUCAUCAUGCGAGGACCAAGCACAUAGAUGUGCGUUAUCACUUUGUUCGUGAAGUAGUUGGUGAAGGGGAGAUCAUUCUCCAGAAGAUUCCAACUAAAGACAACCCCGCUGAUAUGUUGACUAAGGUUGUUGGUGUAGCCAAGUUUGUUCACUGUUUGAACUUGGCUCACAUUAUGCCUAUAUAAAGAAGGCGUUGAGCAGUAGGAGUUUUGGAGUAUUUGGCUCGGCAUGAGUUGUUCUCUUGCUAGUGUUUGGGAGUGAUGUUGUGUGUUAAUUGUGUUGGUUGGCUUAUCAUGGCGUUUUUCGGAACUUGGCCAAGGUGGAGAUUGUUGAAUAAUUGGCCAACAUUCUUCCUUGUUUUGGGGAGGAAAACACCUUUCCUUGUUUUGGGGAGGAAUAUAGGGAAAGUGUUUUGUUCUCUUAACACCCGUGGGUGUUGGUUCAAGGGCUGAGUGAGUUGUCUUUAAAGAAAGAAAAAAAAGGAGACCUCAUGUUUUCUGCCGAGAGGAAAAAGGGAGAGAGUGAGAGCUGGAAAAACAGAGGGCAGAGAAGAAGAAGAAAUCUGGAGCAGCAACCCCAUUUCGAAGAGAAGAAGGUGCUCUUCACUUUGGUUAGUAAUCAUCCAUCAAAAUAAUUGUAAUAGCUUUGAGCUUUGUAUAGAGAAGAAAUUAAUCACUAUAUUUUUUCUUCUCUAUUUGUUUCUUUGGUGUGUGAGAGCUUUUGGGUGUAUUGGGGUUAAGGGUUGUGAGAUUGCCAACACUUUGUAAACUCCCAUUUGGUUGAUAGUGGAUUAUUUGGUGAGCUCCUACUGCUCCGAGGACGUACUCCAGUUACACUGACUGUUGAGGAACCUCAUUAAAAUCUUGGUGUCUUUUAUAUUUUGUUCUUGCAUUUUCAUUUGAUAUAUUUCCUGUGGGUUAUCAAGAGUUGGUUCUAAAAGGUUUGGUGCUACCUAGCACAACAAUCAUCACCAUCACCAUCAUCACUACCAUCACCAUCAUCAUUGUCAGCAUCUUUCUUCAUCUUGGCCUCAUAAAAAUCAGACAAACGAAAGCUUCUCUUUAGGAAACUGGGGGCAGCAGCAUCCUUGGAAGCCUUGUACCUGCCGAGAAUGUGAUUGAAUUCAACUGGAUCUUGCGGCCACGUCUCCGACUGAAUUCGACCUGUUUACCGGUACUAGUAGUUGUUGGUGACACUGGACCAUUAUUAGUAUUCUCUUGCAUUAUUUGAAUCUGAACCGUCCAUGAGAAAUCGUAUGGCGUAUAUACCCGUAGUCUUACGAGUAUUUCAGAGAACACGUAUUUCAAAGAAUCUUAACAGAUACAUAAUUUGUCUUCUGGAUGACUAUUCAUUCAUCACACAAAACACAUAUUUCAGAUAACCUUAUCGGAGUAGUUUUAUUUCUCCGAUUACUACGCGUCUCUCGCAUUGCCAUUCACUAAGUAAAGAAAAUCUAGGUUGGAAGCAUUCCAAUUUGGAUUGGCCCAAGCCUUCCACAUUUGGUAGUUCUUAGCCUUUGUGCAAAUGAGCUUCAUAGUGCCAUUUCUGAGGAACUCUGUAGUCUCACAAUUCUCCAAAUUUUGGACCUUGAAGACGAUACCAAGAUGUUUCCAAAAUAUGACAUCCAUGGCCACUACCUUUUCAAGCGAAGGAGAUACCAGUAUCGAAUCUACAUAGAGAAUGCAUUUUUGGGAACCAAAGCUAGAGAAGUGAAAUAUAACAUAGUGCUUGGUUUGAUAAUGAGCUUGGACAUUUCAAGCAACAUGAUAUUUGAAGAAAUUCCUAAAGAGCUGACCAGCCUCAUUUGUUUGCAAUCGAUGAACUUAUCCAAUAAUCUUCACACGGGAAGAAUCCCUUCCAAGAUCAAUGAUAUGGGAUCAUUAGAAUCACUUGAUUACUACGAGAACCAACUUUCUGGUGAAAUAUCUCCAAGCAUCUCGAAUUUGACAUUUCUCCAUUAUUUGAAUUUGUCCUAUAACAAUAUGAUAGCGCAGAUGCCAAAAAGCAUUAAACUUCAAAGCUUUGAUCUGUCCAGUUAUGCUGGCAAUAAACUUUGUGAAGCUCCAUUGGAAGAUCGUUGUAGUACAAAUGAGGCCAUGCCAUCAAUAGGUUCUAACUUCUAUCUAAUGAGAAACACAAAGCAGGUCAUUUACUUGAUGAUGGUGGAUUCUAUCUAAGCUUGGGGCUUGGACUUGCAUUCGGGUUUUCGAUUAUUCUUAGUUUCACUGACUUUAAUGUGCCAUAUAGCAAUGUAUUUUCUCGGUUCCAAUCUUGACGAAAACACGUGUUGCUAAGGCCAUUCAUUCAUUCAUUGUUUCUGUUGCUAGAAAGGCCUCGUAGCCACCAUGACGUUCAACGCAAAGCUAAUAUCUUUAGGUGGUUUUUGUUAAGGCGGUGUUUCGACGAGUAAGUUAAAUGACAUUGAAUCCGACAAGAGGAAAAAGAGAAGCAAAUAAACAAAGGCCUAGCCAAGGCGAUAAAUUAUAUGUGUGCAAUGUUCCCAAGUUUUAUUCAGACAAAAAUUGUGUGCACAAAGCGCAAAAUUUUUUAUGAGAAUAUUUGAGUUUAUCGUCAUUCAUGUCGACAAAUGUCAAGUAAUAUGCUGAGUGAUGUCAAGACCCCAUGCUAAGUGAUGUCAACACGACUCGUCAAAUGUUGUCAAGAUAUUUUUAUAAAACAUUUCGUCAAAUACUUUAGGGUUAAUCUCAGUUUACUACUCUGAAGUUUUGUGGUGUUUCAUACAUCCGUUAAGUUUUCCGUUAGAACUGAGCGUCACGUGUCAAUAUAGACCCACUUCAAUAUUAAAAAAUAAAAAAAGUGCAAAAAUAAAAUAAAAUCCCAACCCGUCUUCUACCUCCCCCAAGCUCACUCCAACCACCAAAACCAGUCUCCCCCAACCCGCACCCUCCCUUCCUUCUUCCCUCAGAUCCAAAACGAAACGUAAACAAUUUGAGACCAUUCUAUUACUUGCUUCCAUUGCACCUUAAAGCAACGCUCCCAAUCAAACGAAAACCAGCAAAAAAGUCUAACUUCCAAAAUAAAAUGCAACCAAGUUCGGAACUUGCGAAAACCACACCAAAAACCCAAUCACGAAAGCUAAAAAACUCCCAUUUUCCAAUCCCACUAUGUAAUUUUUCAGAUCAUCCAAACAAAAACCCAGAAGCAAAAAAUAGAGAAUUGAAGAAAGUAAACUUUUUUCUCUUUACCGAAGUGAGAGUAGGAGUCGAAUUAAUAGUCAGCGCUGGUCUUGCCAUCGGCUUCGACGAAGGAGACCUCUGGCUCGCCAUGGAGUCAUCGACGGCCUUGUUGAGCUCGGGGUCGCACAUGGACUCGUCGGGGUUAGAGCUCUAGGGGACGUCUUUUACGGAGGGAAGAAGGAAGGUUAGAGCUCUCCGGGUCGCACAUGGACUCGUCGGGGUUGGAUCUGAGGGAAGAAGGAAGGGAGGGUGCGGGUUGAGGGAGACUGGUUUUGGUGGUGAAAGAAGGUCAGGGGAGAGGGUGCAGGUUGUAGAGGGAAGAAGGAAGGUUGGGGGAGACUAGUUUUGGUGGUUGGAGUGAGCUUGGGGAGACUGGUUUUGGGGGAGAGGGUGCGGGUUGCAGAGGGAAGAAGGAAGGGAGGGGAUUGGGGGAGGUAGAAUACGGGUGGGGAUUUUAUUUUAUUUUUAAUUUUUUAAUAUUGAAAUGUGCCUAUAUUGACACGUGACGUUCAGUUAUUGUCAUUUAGGUGUCACUUAAUCGGUUAACAGAAGUUCUAACGGAAAACUUAACGGAAGUAUGAAACUGUCCCAAAAUAAGACUUGAGGUAUGAAUCUGGAAUGAAAAAAACUUCAUAUACUAAAUGUUGAAAACCACAAAAUUUCAUGGUAGUAAAUUGAUAUUAACCCAAUACUUUAUGAGCAUAGAAAGAUCCCGACCAGACAUUUGAAGGGCUCCGGACGACCUUCACAUUUGUUUUUCUUUUCAGCAUUUGGAGGGUUCCAGGACCAACCAAGUCUCUACAUGGGUCUGCCAAUGAACAUGUCACACUUCUAACGUAUAUUUCUAUGUCCUUGUCCACUUAACCUUGUCUUCGAGUACUUCGAAAAAUUUAUCCGCAAAGACAAAUGAAUCUGCCGUCAUUGCCACACGAGAAAACAGCAAAACAUGAAAUUGCGGACAACACAACACCAAGUCAAUCUACUUUCUAUCAUAUUUUUUUGGUCAUUUUCUUUGACAUUGUAAAUUUCAAAUAAAAAACAGAGUGGGAGAAACAAGGACCCAAAUUCUUAUUUAUUUAUUUAUUCAUGAAACGACACACAAUAUUUACUUUCAUAUUAUGUCAAAAAAUAUGAAUGUGAUACUAAGCGUUAACUGUCGGUUUACCCCCUGAACUUUUACCUCACUUUCGAUUUCCCUCCUGAACUUUUAUAUUGGAAAAUUAAGGACUCAAACUAUUUUUUUUAGCCAAUUUGCCCCCUACCAUUAGUUUUUCAUAUAUUCCAUCCAUAUUUCCGUUAAGUGAAACCAUGUGCACAACAUGUGAGGGUAGUUAAGUCAUUUCACUCUUAAAAAUGAUUAAAAAACUGAAAAUUAAAAAAAACAAAACUUUCCCUCUAUUUUUUCCCGCUAAUUCCUAUCCUCGAUUUUAUUUUUCCCUCUCAUUCCUAUGCAUGAGAAAUGACAUAUGGUGUUAUUGUCUACCAUUUUUAUUUUCUCUAACAAAUUAAUAAUUUGACAAAUGCUAAUGAUGUUAUUGUCUCCAAAGCAGUGCAUUAAUACAAGAAACCCUAGUCUUUUUUAUGGACAUGUUUCUUAUAUUAAUGUACUGCUUUGGAGACAAUAACACCAUGAGCAUUUGUCAAAUUAUUAAUUUGUUAGAGAAAAUAAAAAUGGUAGUACAUGCUUCAAGAAAAAGAUUAACUUAUCUACUUAUGAAGACAAUAACACCAUAUGUCAUUUCUCAUGCAUAUGAAUGAGAGGGAAAAAUAAAAUUGAGGAUAGGAAUUAGCGGGAAAAAAUAGAGGGAAGUUUUUUAUUAUUAUUUAUUUUCAGUUUUUAAUCAUUUUUAAGAGUGAAAUGACUUAAUUAUCCUCACAUGUUGUGCACAUGGUCUCACUUAACGGAAAUAUGGAUGGAAUAUAUGAAAAACUAACGGUAGGGGGCAAAUUGGCUAAAAAAAUUAGUUUGAGUCUUUAAUUUUCCAAUAGAAAAGUUUAGGGGGGAAAUCGAAAGUGAGGUGAAAGUUCAGGGGGUAAACCGAUAGUUUACCCGUGAUACUAAUAUAUUGAACUAUACAAAAAUCACACUCCUUCGUUAGUGCGAAAAGUUGAAACGCAUUCAUAAGUACAAACUCGUGAGUGGGGUACCAACAUAUUAAACUCACACUAGUAUAGUAUUCAGGGUUUUGGGAUCCCCUUUUUUUUCAAAAAAUGGAGAUUGUUUGUAUGGCCCACACCACAUUGAACUUCAAUGAUUCAAACUGUCUAUUUUUCAAGUUGCACCUCAUAGAUCAUCGUUGCAAAAUAUUAGCCAAAUUAGAAAUAUUUGGGAAUCUAAUUGAGUUCAAAGAAAUUGACGAACACUGUGUUUUAAAAAACAUUGAAACUUCAUCGUGACAAAUUGACAAUUAAAUAGGCAAAUGGUGUAGCAGUUUUGUUACAUGCAUCAAACAUUGUGUUCUAAGAAACAUUAAAAUUAUGCAUCAAACUCAAGACAUCCGAUCUCUAUAUAUAUGCAUAACACUCGCUCAGAAUCUCAAAGUAGAGUACCUUUCUUGCAAGAGCAAGUUGUACUCAUGAACAUUUAUGAACUGGUAUCAUAACAAGUUGUUCCGUAAAUAGACAAUUAGUCAAUAUAUACUUUUGAACUUAAUAACCCACGUCAGAACAAUACAAUAUGUUGAAUACAUGAGCUCCUGGACAAUUUGUCUUACACAACUUAGCUAGCUGGUACCAGAUAAAAUCGAGAAAAGAUGUUUAUAUACUUGUACCAUCCCACACCACAAUUCAUAUUGAACUCCCCCCCCCCCCCCCCCGGCUCUCUCUCAUGAUGCAGCCUCCACGAGGGAGUAUCGUCGUCGCCGCCGCAGUCUUUGCAACUGUCAUCCAAGUGUUUUCCACGGCAAACUCCCUCCAAGAAGCUGAUAAAAUCACAAGGUUGCCAGGUCAACCACAAGUCAGCUUCCAGCAAUAUGCAGGAUAUGUAACUGUGGAUGAAAAGCAAGAGAGAUCUCUUUUUUACUACUUUGUUGAAGCACAAAUUGAUCCUGCUUCCAAGCCUCUUGUUCUUUGGCUCAAUGGAGGUGAGCUUCCAUCGAAAUCCAGUAACGAGUAAUAUAAUCCCUACCGGAAAUAUUUUACGCAUUAGUUUUUGUUAGUCAUACUGUUUCAGCCAACUUAGUGACGCUUGCGUUUGCAACACUUUAUACAUUAUUGAAUGCAUGUUACGUAUUACAAUUAUGAACCAAAUAAUUGAGCUUUGUGACUUUUAAUUGAAGGUCCGGGUUGUUCAUCUAUUGGAGUUAGAGCUUUCAACGAGAACGGACCUUUUCAACCAAGCGGAGACAUUUUACUCAAGAACGAUUUUAGUUGGAAUAGAGGUAGGUAAACCAUUAAAUUAGUCUUUAAGUGAUCACAAUUGUGUCACAUUCGUUGUUAAUUAGAUUCUGCUCCCAAUUAUUCACGUAACAUUGAUACUAAUUAUGAUGGAUUUUCUCUCGUUUAUAUAAUUUUUGCAGAAGCAAAUAUGCUAUACUUGGAGUCACCAGCAGGAGUAGGCAUCUCCUACUCAGCAAACAAUCAUUCUAUGGCUUUGUGAACGACGAUAUCACAGGUUUUCGCUUCAUAUGACUUUCUCAAGCCUCAUUCAACCAACAAAAUAUAACCCGAAAAUAGUAAACACGUACAUUCUGAUCAUGUUCCGAUUCUCUUCUUUUUAGCACGAGAUAAUCUCAAGUUCCUUCAGCGCUGGUUCGACGAAUUCCCCGAGUAUAAAAAUAGGGAUUUGUUUAUCACAGGACAGAGCUAUGCAGGUAACAUCAUUUACUUGUAAAACCAUCAUUUCUAUCACUAACGACCAAUUAGAAAACUCGAAAGGUACAAACUUACGACGCGCUUCUAAAAAAUUCCAUUUUGUCACUGCCAGGCCACUAUGUUCCACAGCUUGCACAACUCAUUAUCCAAUCAAAACUGAAGUUCAAUCUGAAAGCAAUAGCAGUAAACAAACGAGAAUCUAAAAAGUGAAGUAACUUUGGAGUUGAUGUUUUCGACUAAGAUGUCACGCUUGAGCUUUUUUUGCUUGCAGAUUGGCAAUCCUCUUUUCGAAUUCAAUUCUGAUAUCAACGCACCAGCAGAAUACUGGUGGUCACAUGGAUUAAUAUCGGAUGCGACCUUCAAAAAUUUGACUUCAGUCUGCAACUAUUCUGAAAUUAUUAGACAGGCGGUAAUUCGUGGUGGUCCACUUAUCCCUGCUUGUGAUGCAGUAGCGAACCAAGUUGAAAGAGAAGUCCCUAGACAUUUGAUCAACCAAUAUGACGUUACUCUCGAUGUCUGUUUAUCAUCCGUUGAAGCUCAAUCUUUCCAACUGGUAAGCCUUGGUAUUUUCUCCUUUCAUUUCUUUCAAAUUCUCUACGUUAAUAUACAAACUUCCAACUCACUGAUCACAUCUGCAGCGAAAAACAGUGAAGAUAGAUGUCUGUAUCGGAGAUGAAACAGUUACAUACUUAAACCGACCAGAUGUACAGGAGGCGCUUCAUGCCCGAGUCACAAAUUGGACAACUUGCAGCAAGUAAUCAUCUCAUCUCAUUUGAAUCACUGAUGCACGUAAACGUAGUAGGUUCCAAAGAUGAAUCAAAACAUGAAAGAAUUCCGAUUAUAUUCCAAACUAUUCAAAGAUCGAAGAAAUAUUCCUUGUGCAGCAAGUCUUUUCUGUUUACUGUGCUUCUAAAUUUGAUUAUCCUCUUUUACAGCGGAGGUGUAUGACAUGAAAAACCUGGAAAUACCGAUGCUUCCAGUUUUAGGUGACCUUGUCGAGUCUGGAAUUCGGGUUUUAAUUUACAGGUGAUGAGUCUCACCGUUGUACAAAUCAAAACUCUUGCCAUCUCUGAUAAUCUUAGUCUUUUAGAAAUUGUACUUGAAAGUACAUCUUUCAUGUUUCCCACAGUGGAGAUCAAGAUUCUGUUAUUCCACUAACGAGUACACGGACACUGGUGAACGGAUUGGCAAAGGACUUGGGGCUACAAACGAAUGUGCCUUACAGAGUCUGGUUUGAAGAAAAACAUGUCGGUUCGUGAAUAUAUUAACAGUGGAAAAUUCGGACUAUCUACUUGUGGUCUUAGCAGUUUUUAUCCUUUAUAAAUUUGUAACUUUUCAGGUUGCUGGAUGGACACAAGUAUACAGUGACGCUUUAUCUUACGCUACCAUAAGAGGAGCAGGCCAUGAAGCUCCAAUUUCACAGCCAGAGAGAUCAUUACAUCUAUUUACUUCAUUUCUGACAGGAAUGCCAUUGCCAAAAGCCUUAAGUACUAACUGACACAAAUUGCAGAAAUCAAGAAGAAACAAAUCUAUUCAUUUCUUACACGGAAUAAUUGAGUGAACAAAUUGUAAGAAAAUCGGUAUACUCAUGAGAACAAGAAUGUCAGUUUUAAGUAGCACUUUUUCUCUGCAUCAAUAAAGACAUUCGGAGGAAUGACAGGCAACAUCCAAACAAAACGUCUUCCAUAUGUUAAAAAGAGUUUAAUUGACACUCCAACAGAAAUCGAAAUUGUAACUUUAAGGAUGACUCCAGUACAUGGUACCCAACUUUAAUAGCCAACUUAUACAAAGCGCGUUGUAUUUCAAACCAAUAAGAUACAUCGACGUCCUCUCUCUAGACUCUAGUUCUUACUUCUUAUGAUGCAUAAUAACAUAACAUGUUUAAAUUCUUAGAUUGUUCGCUGCUAAAACAGAACCCUUUGCUGGAAAAUUUGUACGUGUCACUUUGCACUGAAGCACACCAUAUAAUUGGUGAGGCAAGAUAUUCGAUCACCAUUGGAGGAUAAGACUCAGGCCUUCGACAAUUUCCUAAUGAAAGUUAUGCAGAUUAUGUUUAUUUUCCCCUUUCGAGAACCCUUUAGGUUUAUUUUCCUGUGUUCCUAGCAAGACUUUAAUUUGUAGUGAAAUAAGAGGGGGAGGAGUGCAAGAUAAAUUUAUCAAGAACGAAAGCAUAGCCAAAGUAACCGACUUCCAACAAUGAAUUAAUUAAAUUAAAAUUACAAAGCAAUUUGCUAAUCUCUAAACAAAACAAUAGCAAGGCGAAUAUUGUUCAUAGCCAAACGGUAUAUCAAGAGUUAAACCAAUCAAACCAAAAAUUAGUAGAAGACUAGAAGUUCGAUAACCAAGGAUUCGAGAUGGUGUCCUUGGUUAAAUCUUCUUCUGUAAUUCUGAGUUCAAAAUCCACGCACUUGGCAGCAUUGGACAUUUCACAGGCAAUGGAGGCUUCAAUUCCAUGACUGAAGUAGUAGUAAUAAUUGGAUUCUUCGAUUCCAUGACUGAAGUUGUAGUACUAGUAGUAGUAGAAUUCACCGGAUUCUUAUUAAAACCACCCCAUUGGGCCGAUUCAUGAGUAACUUUUUGGCCUAAUGCGUCGUGAAUAAAUGGAUUUACAAGGUCCUGAGAGGGGGGCAACUGCACAUCAAAAUAUGCAGGGCUCAAGCAUCGCGGUGUUUUGCUUGAGCUUGAGUGAGUUCGGGAUAAAUUUUGAUUUUGUUUCACAGCAUAAUAUCUUUCCAUGGAAUCAAUCUCCAGUGUUGAUGCCUGUAUCUUGGCUUCGAGUGAAGCAAUGAGUUUAAUCAAUUCAUCUUCUGAAAAUAGGUCAAUUCGAGCAUCCCAUGUUGGGUACUUAUUCUCGGAAAUGUGCUUAUUGCCCGGUUUUUGAAGCUUGGGAUCGACAUGAUCAUCAUCAUCACCAUCACCAUCACCAUCACCACCAUCACCACCAUCACCACCAUCACCACCAUCACCGUCAUCACCGUCAUCACCUUUCUUCAUCUUGGCCUCAUAAAAAUCAGACAAACUGAAGCUUCUCUUUAGGAAACCGGGGGCAGCAGCAUCCUUGGAAGUCUUGUACCUGCCGAGAAUGCGAUUGAAUUCAACUGGAUCUUGCGGCCACGUCUCCGGCUGAACUGGCCUAAUCCCCUUCCUUUGGUCAGCUUCGUAGACAAUCAAGGCCACAUCAAUGUCACAAAGUUUGGAGAGCUCGUCCGCCUUCUUGUAAACGCUCUUCUUUCGCUUCCGAAAUGCCAUCUUUCGAGCAGUCUCGUUGGGAAUGAGUUCCAAGCUUCUUCUCGUAGGAGCCACCAUCUUCUUCUUCUGUGAAAUUAAUCUCAUGAAUUCUCAAUUCUGAGAGUCGUAAAUUGUAAUAAGAAGUAGGGUUUUGGAUGAGUUUUAUAGGGAGGGAGGGAAGUAGGGCGGCAGAGUUGUAUAUGGAAGCCAAAUUCGAAUAGGAAACAGAAAAAGUAGUUUUCAAAUGUAUCAGGAGACCACGAUUUCUCUAAUUAUUACUUGCUUUACACGUCACAUUCUAAUUAAUUAGGGUUUCCGUCUUAUAUCGUAUUUAGGGUUUCUGUCCUAUAUCGUCUUUGGGUUUCCUUCCUAUAUCGUAUUUAGGGUUUCCUUCCUAUAUCGUAACCCUAACCUAAUCGCCGGCCUAGUAAUAAUAGUUUCCCUUUUACACAAGGAAUAUGAUAACGGCAGUGUUUUUUUUUUUUUUCCAUUUUUUAAUCUUGGUGCGUUUUGGGAGAUUAAUGUACAUGAAACGGUCGCCGCUACGUGGCAUUCUAAAUUUAUAAUAUAAUGUCAUGUUAAAAACUUAAACAAAUAUUUUAUUAUUAGAUCAAAACAUCACGAUGAUAGUAAUAAAUCCAUUUGAGGUAAUUUUUUUUUUUUCUAGGUUUCGAAGACAUCUAUUUGUGUACUUAAUUAUCUUUUAAGUAGGAUAUCUUUUCUUUCUUUAUAAAUUAGGGAUAUAAUAAAAUAACUAUUAAAAAUUAGGGAAAUUUGAAUUUUUUGAUUGGAAAAAAAAAGAAGUUAAAGUUUAAAAAUUUUGAAAUCUCAAAACUCAUUCCAGUUUCACAUCUUUUAAGUUAUUUAAGUUUGGAACGAAAAUUUUUAAUGGUUGAGUUACUACAAUCUAGUGGUAGGUUUGAUUCUCACUAAAGGAAAAUUUGAAGCACAUUAUUGCUAAUCUAUUGUGAGGCUUAGUUCAACUUCACCCCUUAGUGUAGAUUUCAAAACAAAAAAAAAAAAAAAAACAACUUUUAUCUUGACUCUCAUUUUAUCUCUUAUAGUUAUCGUUAAAUCAAUCAAAAUUUCCAUUAAAUACGAUGAUGUGGCAGUUGAUAACCCUUCCUUAUAUAAAGAUUAACCUUUCCUCUUCUUUUUCUUUGAAAUAUUUUUGUUCACCACCCUAUUGAUCACAAAUUUCAAAAUUUAAACUCAUUCAAUGGUAAUAAGUAGUCCCACUUGAGGAGUUAAAAUCUUCCGGCCCAUUUUAUUAUGUGUGACCUUUAUCAUAGAUUGACAAGUAUUAAGUUCAUGAGUAACAUAAUUAAAAAGAGUUAAGUUUAUCGACACAUGUCAACCAGUCACAAGGCCACAUAAAAGCCACAAACAAAAUAGGUGCAUAAGAUUUGAACUCCCAUUUUAGGAUGGUGAGCAAAAAUGCACCAUUUUUUAUUUGAAUUACUAUUGAACUCGUCAUUUAUGAGAUUCAAAUCUAGAUUCUCUCAUUUAGAAUUGAAGAAGAAUACUAAUAAACUGUAAUACUUAUAAGCAAUUUUUUUCCUAUUUCAUUUGGUAAAAAGUUCAAAGAAUCCAUGAGUCUAAAAAUCGCGAACUGUUGUAGUCAUAUUUAGAAUAAGAAUGUAAUUGUGUAAAUCCUAAGAGAUAUGGGAAAAUAUCUUAUAUUUCUAUUAGGAUUAGAUUACCUAUUAAAUGCUGUAAUCCUAAAGCGAAAGUUUUUUUAUCUAUCAUAAUACUAUAAAUAAAGGUACAAUGCGGUGAAUCAAACACACCUCACAAUUAAAUCAAUAUAUCUUCUCUCUAAUUGUGGCCGGCCCCCUCUCUCUCUCUAAACCCUAGAUUGCUCAAUCAAAUAGGCCUACAACAUGAACAACGUACAUGAAACGAAUACAAGAACAACUUAUAUAGAAUGAGUUUAACAUCAUUGGCAUCUCUUGUUUAAUAAUACAUUUUAUUGUGUUAUUAUUUACACCGCUCUAGCCGACUGAAAAUCCCACAUUCCUUAGAGCACUCCAACCCCGAAAAAUCCCUUAGGGAAUGGUCCCCCCUCCAAAAAAAAAAAAAAAAAGCCUCAGGCCCCAAGGCCGACGUCAGCUACAAUUAAAAAAUUAAUGAAAAUAAUAAAAGUUAAUUAAAAAUACAAAAAAAUAAUAAAAAUUUAAUUAAAAAUACAAAAGGUUAUAAUUUUUUUUAUGAAUACCUAAUCAUGUUCUUCUACCUUACAUCACAUUUCAAUAUUUUCAAAUACAUUCAACCAGUUUUUCGUUAUUAUUCGAAAUUAAAAAAAGAUUAUCUUUGAUUAUUUUAUAAAAUAAUAAUAAUAUUUUAAUACUAAUUUAAGUUUACAUUUGGAGUUUUCUACCAAAGGCAAGGAAAGUGUUGGUGAAAAGUGAACUCCCUUUUUACGUAUCUAGGUACUUGACAUUCUAAGAAAGUUGUUUUGUGCAUUAACUAGAUCUCUCAUGUCACUUAAUACUAGACUUUAGUGAUAUAUUUUUUUCAAUUGUAAAAUUUCGAUUCAAUUAUUGCUUAAGAUAAAUUUGAAUUAUUUUUAUUAAUUUAUUGUGAGGCGAAACUAAACUUCAUGAAAUUUAGAAUAUCGUCUCGUGUAGGUUAGCGGGGUUUGUAGGGGUGGAACUUAAAAGAAAGAAGCACGCGGAUGCGGAGGAUGAGGAAGAGAGAGAUCCAUGGCAUACUAAAUAGUCACACACAACUGGAAGAGAGAGAGGGAGAGAAUCCUAGAGAGAGAGAGGGACCAUAGGAAAAAUGGGGAAGGGUCCCUUCUCUUUCAAGCGCAGCAGCAGCAGCGUACGACGCCGCCCCAAGAAGCUCAUUGGCACUCCACCUUCCCCUUUUCCCUCUCCGCCGCAGCCGAUUCGGUCUCCCCCGCCCUCCAACAGUGUCAAUGUUAACAGUACCAAUACGAAUAAUACUAGUCUCAGCGCGGUUGUUGCUGGCGGCGCCGGCGGUGGAGUGAAGGGGAAGAAGAAGGCUGGAGGAGCCAGGCUUUGGAUGCGGUUUGACCGCUUCGGCGUAUCAGAGCUCGUUGAGUGUGAUAAGAACGCUAUCAUUCGACGCGCUGCCAUUCCCGCCCGGGACUUGAGGAUUCUCGGCCCUGUCUUCUCCCAAUCCUCCAGCAUCCUUGGUACUCCUUCUCCUCCCCUUUUCUUAUUUUAUUUUGUCAAUUGUCUUACUUUAUAUGUUAAUUCUCUUCUGGGUUUUGCAAAUUUUACUAGGUUAUGCGCCUACAUUAGGGUUAGGGUUAGUUUUAUCAUGUCGAUUUGUUCUAGGAAAAAGUUAGUUCAAGGAGAUUGGGAUUCUGGGCUUGGAAUUGCAAUUUGUAAUAAUUGUUUUUGUUUUGUCUUUGCCCUGUUUUUGUUUGCCUCUUGAAUCAGUGCCAUUGCCUUGGGGGUGGAGUUUCAGAUUAGGGUGUAGCUAGGAAAGUUUUGCAAAGGUAACAAUCGCCAACCUGCGCAUUACAAGAUUAAGGCUUGCAUUUGAUUCCUUUGGGGGAGUUUGUAAAAAAAAUUUACUUUAGUUGGAACUUGGAAAUUACUUUUCAAAUUUUGGGGUGUGUGAAAUUUUUGUAUAAAUUUCAACUCAAGUGAGUAAAUAUGCAACUUAACCUUGCAUUUGAAAUUUUGAAGUGACGGCUUAGAACCUUUGGAUUCUUGACCUGCACACCAUGAUCUUGGCCAAAAACUUGGCUCUCAGCACAUGUUGCUUCAGUAUAUAUUUUUACGUUGUUGCUCUAGACUUGGUUGUUGGUGAUUUAUUGGUAUAGAAUAUUUUGUAGUAUUAUUGGUUUUAAUACGAGUUGAAACUUAUAUCAGUAUAAGAAAACUCCCUGAAAUAUCCCCUUUGCUCACCUCUAAGUUUUUGGACUUGACCAGAGGUGGAAAAUUGGGGGGCGGGUUAGGGCAGGUUAUAUGGUGGGCAAUAAAUGCAGCACAAGAAACUUUCCGGUCUCAAUUGUUUAGUUCACUCGUUCUCCUUGGAACAAUGCCUUUAUGAGUUAUACUACUAUGAAUACAACUUUUAGUUGCUAGUGUUUUAAUUGUAACCUGUGUAGCCAUAGUAGACCAUGAUAAAUAUGUUUUCCUCAUUUCAAUUGCAGCCAGGGAGAAGGCCAUGGUGGUUAAUUUAGAGUUUAUAAAGGCUAUAGUUACAGCCGAAGAGGUUUUGUUGCUUGAUCCUCUUCGGCAGGAGGUUCUUCCAUUUGCAGAUCAGCUAAGGCAACAACUUCCUCAGAAAAGCCAAUCCAGGAUACAAGAAGCAAGUCCACUUGAUGAACAAGAUAAUGGAAUGGAUGCUUCAACUAUAAGGCAAUGGUUACCUGUUCCCGAGGCUGUUGAAGGAUUGCAGUGUGAUCUCCCAUUUGAGUUUCAGGUUCUGGAGGUUGCAUUAGAAGUUGUCUGUAUAUACUUGGAUUCUAGUGUGGCAGAACUUGAGAGAGAAGCCUACCCUGUGUUAGAUGAACUGGCUAGAAAUGUUAGCACCAAAAACCUUGAACUUGUGAGGAGUUUGAAAAGCAAUCUUACCCGUUUGCUUGCACGUGUCCAGAAGGUAUGUUUGCUUAAUCCUACCUCAUGACUCAUGAGUCAUUGUUCUCUAUAUUUGUUCAGAUGAGUUGCUAUGCUGUUCGUUCAGAUGAUUUGCUAUGCUGUAUCUAAUUUCAAUCCUUUCCGGCAUCAAUAACCUGACCCUGCUUGGAGUUAAAGUGUUUCUCGAGUCAUAAUUUUUGUGAGUUUUCAGUUUGUUUUGAAGAAAUAGGUUUCUGGAGCACUGGAACCUUAAAUAAUAUAAAACUAUCAAAUAUUAAUAUAAAGCAGCAAAUCCCAGGUUGACAUAAAUAAACCCUAAUUAAGUGUCACCACACAAUCUGCUUCAAGAAUGUUUCAUGAAUUAGGAAUUGAUACAUACAUGGUGAUGCGCUUGUAAUAUGCCAUUCAAUUGUCACCAUUAGCUGAUAGAUGUACAUUUCUCAUUGCAGCUUGAUAGAAUCCUUUUAUUCUUAGAUAUUGGAGAGGAAUUGAAUUUGUGUCAAACAUGUGAUUGAGGGUUUGACUGUUUCCAGAUUAUGCAGGACUACAAAGAGAAGUGGAUACUCUUUACUAUUUGACAAGUUGAUAUGAAACGUUUUUGUAAAACGGGUUUGGACUUAGGAUACCUUUUUAUUUGUAUGCUAUUUUCUUUUUGAGUAACAAGCGUGUGUCUGUCUGAUUUCAGGUGAGGGAUGAAAUUGAACAUUUGUUGGAUGACAAUGAAGAUAUGGCACAAUUAUAUUUAACAAGGAAAUGGAUGCAGAAUCAACAGCCUGAGGCUUUGUUGGGGCGUUCUGCAUCAAAUAGAAUCUCUGCACCCCAUCUUCGUCGGCUUGGUUCUAACAGAAGUGGGAGUUUGGUAACCAGUAACAAUAUGGACUACGAUGAUGUAGAAGAUCUAGAGAUGCUGCUUGAGGCAUAUUUUAUGCAGCUGGAUGGAACCCGUAACAAGAUAUUAUCUGUAAGUGCCAAUUGUUGUGACCUACUAUAACUUUAUACCCAACAACUUGACUUCUAAGUUCAAUUUACGUACAUGCUUUAAAGUAUCUCUUCCUGGAGAAUUCAACCUUUUACAAAACAAUCUUUAAAUAUCAGUUGUCACCAUUAGCUUGUGUUUUAAUGCAGUUGCAUCAACUUUGAUGGAGUUCCAGAUAACUAAUUUUAGGUUAGAUUUCUUAAAUGUUGCAUAUUUUCUACUGAGUUCUGUGGUUGCACUUGCUCCUGAGCUCUUGUGGAUUCCCAGUUGUAACUAAUUUCACUAUCAUCGGUAUAUGAGGAUUGUCAUUUAGAAACCAGUUAGCCGUGCAUGUUAAGCAUAAUUGGUUAUUGUGUUAAUCUGUCCUUGAAUAUUGCUCAUGUUCUUGUCGUGUUCAUUGGAUGUAGGUGCGGGAGUAUAUUGAUGACACGGAGGAUUAUGUCAACAUACAACUUGACAACCAACGAAACGAACUCAUUCAGCUCCAGUUGACAUUGACCAUUGCAUCAUUUGCGGUAGCGGUGGAGACCUUGAUAUCUGGGAUAUUUGGUAUGAACAUCCCCUGUAUCUUAUACGACAAGGAUGGGAUAUUUGAGGCCUUUGUUGGGGGUAUUACAGCAUUUUCCGUGUUACUCUUCUUUCUCGUCUUCGGGUAUGCGAGGUGGAAAAAGCUGCUUGGUACAUGAGUCGAGCCUGUCAUCCGUCGUAGAUAGUACUGGAUUCACAAACUUAUUUACGAACCCUAAAGCAACGUCUUUGUAAAUAAGCUUGUGGUUUCAUGUUGUAUGAGCACAAGGAGUUUGUUAGGGAUUUCAUGGCUUGGUAUGCUGCCAGAUUCGUUUCGAAUUACAUGGCAUGUAGUUUAGUAUAGUGUUGCAUAUGAUAAACUGAUGAAUGAAUUUUCUUGGGUCAAAAUUAACAAGCGUUUUUGUUAAUUUGAAGAAAAUACAUGGAAUACUUAGAGCUAAUGGAAAACUUGACUCAAAAUCGAGCUCAUUGGCAUUUUAGGAUGUAUACGGCAGACUCUACUUAAUAAGUUCAAGCUCUUUGUUGUUGUAUAAUUAACUAGUAUUUUUGUUAACGGUUUGAAUAAAUUGUUGGUAAGAUUUAAGAACAAAAAGCUUGUAGCUCUUUGUUCUUGGUAAAGAGCAUUUUCACUUCCGGCCAAUGUUCCGAGUUCAAUCUUUCCUUGCUCAAUGUCGUUUGUAUGUGUGAUCAUAUGGGGACUCAUAAAUAAGGGACACCCUGUGGGCCCAAAAUAUUAUGAAUUUUGAUGAUUUGACUGUUUAGGGCUAGUUUGGAAAUGGUUUUAAAACAUUUGAAAUGUUUUUUUAAGAAAAAUGUUUUUUUAGAGGCCAAUCCUUAAUUAAAAUGCAAGUAAAUUUAGAAAAAUCAUUUAAAGUGUCACAUCCCGACCCGGGCUCCACCACAUCCCGGGCUCAACUCCACCGUAACACGAUAUUGUUCGCUUUGGGCCCCAACCACGUCGUCAUGGUUUUGUUUCUGGGAACUCAGACGAGAACUUCCCAGUAGGUCACUCAUCAUAGGAUUGUUCUUGCACAAAUUCGCUUAACUUCGGAAUUUGGAGCUCCCAAAAGCCCUCGUGCUAGGUAGAAAUGAGAAUAUAUAUAUAUAAGGCUUACAAGAUCCACUCACCUAGGCGAUGUGGGAUAUUACAAUCCACCCCCCUUAGGGGCCCAAUUUCCUUUUCGGCACACUUCCGACCAGGGAUUGACUCUGAUACCAAAUUGUCACAUCCCGGCCCGGGCCCCCACCACAUCCCGACUCGACUCCGCCGUAGCACGAUAUUGUCUACUUUGGGCCGCGACCACGCCCUUACGGUUUUGUUUCUGGGAACUCAGACGAGAACUUCCUAGUGAGUCACCCAUCAUGGGAUUGCUCUCGUGCAAACCCGCUUAACUUCAGAGUUCCGAUGAAACCCGAAGUCAAUGAGCUCCCAAAAGGCCUCGUGCUAGGUAGAGAUGAUAAUAUACAUAUAAAGCUUACAUGAUCCACUCUCCUGAGCGAUAUAGGAUGUUACAUAAAGUGUUGCCCGCAAAGAGCACGUAAUUGGUGCUUCUUGUAUGAAGCAUUUCAAGUGUUUUUGAAACCCAAAAUAUUUUUCUCAAAAACAGUUUCAAUUAUUUUAAAAACACUUCUACAUAUGGGUUUAGUAUUUGGUUAAGCUGCAGCGGCCAAAAUUGGUUGAAUUAUGCGGACAUGUUUGAUAUAUAUUGUAAUUGUACUGAAUUUGUUGUCUUGUUGUAGAUAUUGAUGAGGAAUUGGCCAUCCCCCCUCAUGCUCCUUUUAUGUGCCAACUCCUCCUCUCACUCUUUCUAUUUGUCGAUAUCUAUUAAUUAAUAAAUGUCGUUGUAAUAAGAAAUUAAAACCAAAGGAAAUGCUUGUAUGCAAUAAAGUUGCAAAACUCCACAAAGAAAAGUAAGGGCUCGUGAUUAUAAAAUGAUUGAAAUUUUUUUUGGUGAAAUUUUUUUUAGAAUUAAUUUUUAAUAAAAUUAUAAGUGGAUUCUAAAAGAGUAGUUGAAGUGCUUCUUGCAGUGCAAGAAUCAUUUCAAGUGUUUUUAAAACCCAAAAUUAUUUUAUUUAAAAGAGCAUUCAAACAUUUGAGAAGCACCUUUGAACAAGCCCUUAAAAUAGCCCUACUAUUAACAUUCUAAUGGGGUAGGAUUAUUGUUGGUUUGGGAAUUAGGGUUUAUAAUAAUCUAUUGAUUGAAAAGAAUAUUAUCAUUUCAAUUCUUUUCACAAAAGAAAAAAAAAAGUCAAACUCGUGAUGAAUUUGAGUUCUCUUAUUAUUUUGACAUGCUCAAACUUGUAAUCCAAAUGGUCUAAUUAUAAAUUUAAUUGGCGAUUUGGUAACUAUUUCGUUUUUAUUUUUAUUUUUUAUUUUUUAUUUUUUAUUUUUUAUUUUUUAUUUUUUAUUUUUUAAAAACUAAAAUGAUUAUUAAAAUGCUCUAAGAGCUCCCCAUUUUGUUCAAAAUUUUAGCGAAAUACGGUGUAAACUCUAAAUUUCUAAUGAAGUAAAUAUUGCUUUACCAGUAAAUUAUAAACCAACAUGAAUAAAAAUAUAUGAAUAUUUCAUAUAUUUUUACAUUCAUUAUGUGAUUUAUAAUUUUGACCGUUUACAAAUGCAUUGGACUUCUUUGCUAAAGUUGGUUUUUGGUAGCAAAUGGAAAGAUGUUUAUUUGAUUGGUUUUUGAAUAAUUUAGAUACGAGUGUGUUAAACCCACAACAGAGCGCAUGCAUUUUUGCUAGUUACCUCGAAACAGCACAAAAAAUUCAUAAUUUUUACAUGAAAAUUUAGUCCUAAUCAAUGAUACUGAGCAAUUAGAAGGAGUUUUAGUCUUACUUACGCCUCGAACGACGAGGAACCCGUCCAAAUGUCACGAUCGCCGUCGGAGGUCUCGGUCCGAAGCUUGGCUUUCCGUUUCCACAAACACUGGGGUGAUUGGACUUGCUGGGCUGUGGAAGUGGGGACGGUGGUCUUUGCUGCUCUCGCCGAUGGGAUUGCCACCCAUUAUUCUCGGCUUACCGAGAACGAAAGGGAGAGAGUUGCCUCUCCCGAAAGUUCUUGAAUGUGUUCUCCUCCCAAAAUGAGAGGGAGAGCCCGGGGAAGAAGAAGGGAGGGUGGGUCCCAUGGACCCCAAAACAAUUUAAAAUAAAACAUUGUCCAGCAAACGGACGAAAUUACUAAAAAUACCAUUGCCUUUAAAGUUUCAUAAAACUCAUUUUAAGUCUAAAUUGUUGUAGAAAUGGAUGUCCACUCAAAUAAUGGGCAAGUUGCCCUUCCACUAUUUAGCAUGUGAUUUACUUGUAUAAAAACAAGCCUUAUGAAACACAACAAAGGGAUAGAUAGAUGUGAAGGGUUCACGGGAAAGAAAGAGAGGAAGGAAGGAAGAGGAAGAGAGAGAAAGAAGAGGAAGAGAGAGAAUAGAGGAAGAUGAGAGGAGAUAAUAGAGAGAGUUAUCUUUGUACUCCUAUUAUUCUAAAUUAUAAUGAAAGCACCACUGCUGCCCCGAGGACGUACUCCAGUCACACUGACUGUAGAGGAACCUCGUAAAUUUUGUGUCUUGUUUCAUUUAUUCCACUGCACCCACAGUCGAUUUUACAACACGUUAUCAGCACGAGAAGCUCUCAUGUCGGUGGAAAGCACUACUUACCUCUCACAUCUAUCGGCUGGAAUCUCACAGAUAAGAAAAUCUUUUCAUUUCAUUCUCAUAUCUCUAAAUGACUAAUUUUCUUAAAGUAAAUAUACAUGUGGUUAUAUAAGUAUUGUCAUUAUUAUUGGCAGAAAAUCCGACGAUCAUAUGAGAUUUGAAACUUCAACUUCCAGUGCUCAUACAGAAACCAUUCCUUCAUAAAAGUUGUUCCUUAUCCUCUCUCCCAUAACAUACCAAAAUUCCAGAACCAUCCAACGGUUAAAUCAUUCCAUAUCUUAGAAAUAAUACUACAGACUCAAAAUCCGCAGAAAAUUUGGCAGCCAUGUAAAUAGCCACUGAACUCCAACUUCCUGACAUCCGAUUGAAAUACUUUCUUCUUGAAAGUUGUUUGUCCGCCUAGUACCUAGAACAUAUCCAAAUUUCAGAAAUUGUCAACGGUGCGAUCGUCGUAGAUGACUGAAACUUCAACUCAGCUUCCAUUUCCGCAGAAAACUGGACAGCCAUCUUAUGAGUACCAAACCUUCAUUUUCAGAAGCUCAGCUUGAAACUGUUUCUUCACGAAAGUUGUUUGGUAUCUUCUUAUCCAUAUCAUACUAAAUUUUGAGUUAAAUCUAACGGUUUGAUCUUCUUAUAAGUGGCAGACAAAGAAAAGUGUGAUUAUUUUGGGUAGUUGGAAAGAAAGAAAAAUAUACAUAUAUAAAUUGAAAAAGGGAGCAAAUGGAUGGUGUGUCGGUUGGACUAUUUAAAGAAAACAAAAAGGUUUUGGAAGUGAGUUGCACCAUUCUGAAAAAUAAAUAAAUAAAUAAAUAAAUUGGAAAGGUGGAUUUUUGGUGCAUGAUGUUGUCACAAAAGGAGAAAAGAACAAAUAUUAUUGGAUGGUACACGGCACCAUGUGAAUGAAUAAGAAACGAAAAUAUAUAUUUAUUUAUGUGAAUGGUGUUGGCUUAAAACACUUUCACAAGCUCUAUUUAUUUAAAGCAAUUUAUUUUCAGUGGGUAGCAUUAUUACCCUUUGCUUUAAAGCUUUGAUAUUUAUGUGCAUGGUGUUGGUUUAAAGCCCAUGUCACAAGUUCUAUUUACUUUAAAGCAAUUUAUUUAUCAUGGACGGUUUUACCACCUACUGCUUUAAGUUUUGAUUUAUGUGAAUGGUGCUGAAUUAAAGCCCUUGUCACAAGCUUUAUUUACUUAAAUGCAAUUUAUUUACUAUGGUUGGAAUUACCGCCUAGUACUUUAAUUUAUUUAUUGUACUUAUCUUUUGUUACUAUGAAUAUAUACAGGACCUGAAGUUCCUUGAUCAGAUCAGAACCUGCAGUUUCUUGAUCCUCAUCAUAUAAAAUGAUUGGACCCGAAGUUCCAUCAUACAAAAGGAUCUGGCAUGAAGUCCCUUGAUCCUGAAGAUCAGGACAUGAAGUUCCUAGAUGAGUACCGUAAGUUUGAAGUGCCGCAGUGCCUUAACUUAAUUGUAAUAAAAGCCAUAAGAGUCUUAGUUUACAGACUAUUAAAUAAGGACCAGAAGUUCCUUAUGUCCAUACUCAAAAUGGUUUAGCAGAAGCCUUUAUUAAGCGAAUGAAAUUGAUUUCCCGCGCUCUGCUCAUGAAAACGAAAUUGCCAAUUUUCUACAUGGGGACAUGUAAACUUUACAUGAUGCAUUAUUAAUUCGGUUGAGACAUGUUACCGACCAUCAAUACUUCUCAGUACAACUCGGGUUUGGAACCAACCAAACAUUAUACAUUUACGAGUUUUUGGUUGUGUUGUCUAUGUGCAUGUAAGACUGCCACAACGUACUGAAAUGAGGCAUCAUUGCAGAUUAGGCAUUGAUGUUGAACACCAUCUAUCAUUCAAUAUUUGGAAUUCUUGAUUGGGGAUAUGUUUACCGCAUGGUUUGCGGACUGUCAUUUUGAUAAGACAAUUUUCCUGCCAUUAGGGGGAGAAAAUAAUAUUGUUCCAGAAGAACGAUGAGAAAAUAUCAUUCCAAAAGAAUGAUGAGAAAAGACCGUUCCAGAAGAACGAAGAGAAUUUGUCUUAUUUUGAUUCACGAAGCAAUCAAUAAGAAAAUGAAAUAUGAAUAAUUGAAUGAUGCAACGAAAGUGAUGAAAUCAUAUAUACUUACUGCAAAUGUGCCUACAAGAAUUGAUGUCUCUGUUGGAUAAAAUAAUGAGACAGUAAAUGAUUUAUCUGUUGCACGCCUAAAGCGUGGCAGAUUUUUAGACUCAAAAGGUUCAGUUAUUCGAAAGAAGAAUAAUAUGGCACUACUGAACUAUUGCAUUCCCGAAGCAUAACUGUUGCAUGCCAGAAGCAUGACAGUCGCCGCGUGGAUACACGUCCCAGAUAGGACAAUCCACAGAUAUGAGAAUAUUGAUGUCUCAUGCAUGAAGCAUGAUUGACGUAUAGGUUCUAAAUGACUCAACUCUUGGAAGUGGAGAUUAAAAUCCAAGCUCUAUAACGCUCAAGAAGAGGUUAUGAUCCGCAUUCUCUAAACUAUGACUAUCCUGGAAGAGAUAGUGUAAUGCCCUUGAAGAGGCAAUGGAUAUCCAAAGAAAUGAAAAGCUUUUAUGCAUGCGCAUGCACAUGAGAAUAUGGGAUCACGGAUUGAUGAUAACCAAUGGUAAUUUUGGUUUUUACAAGUACCUACUAAAUUCAUCAAUGAGCUGUGUUAAUAUUGAGUCACGUUCUUUUGUUCGUCGACAAAAGAAAAAUUAUUGGCCAAAAUGGAGAAAGGCAAUUCCAUUACAAAUUUUGUAAGAACGUGGGCAAAUGAACCUAUAUAUAUUUGAAUACAAUACAAAUAGCCAAAGGAUGUUAAACCAAGGAGGUUAUAUAUGGGCAUUUGUAAUAUAGUGUAAUACACUUACAUGAUAUGACACAAGGUUGUAAACGAGUUCAUAUGAAUGGAGAAUUAUAUACGAAGGGUUGUGAGUCGCCCACAUUAUAUCUCCAUAAGUAAAUCCCUCAAGUAUACAUGGGAGCAAAUUGCUCUGUAUAAAUUCCAAAGGAAAAUGUGUCAUGAAGUGUAGAAAACCCUUGAAGGAUUCAAAUUGCUUGAAGUAAGCCUCUGAAGGGUAAAACAUAAAAUAUGUACUCAAUACCAAUUGAUGAUAUAAAUUACCUUAGUGAGUACUAUCAUUAUGAUAUUGUUGCAACAUACUAAAAUCUCUUGCAAGAGUCAAUGACAUUAAAUUAUAACUCUUGAAGAGUCGAUGAUAUUAAAUUGGGACUCCUGAAGAGUCUAGAAAAAAUUAUAAAGUGUUGAAGGAAUUAUUGUCUCGAGCUGCAGAUCGAACAAUCUACCAACACGAAUCUUAUCCAUGAUAUUUAUGAUAUUAAAAGAACCAUAUGGAUUGAAGAUUAUGAGUUGAAUACUCAUAUGAUGAAGACACUAAGAAUAAUCAUUUAUCUUCGUGAGGGUAAAGAUAAAUUAAUAUUUGGUCCAGAAGCACCACAUCUUAGUGAAGUAUAUGCUUUAUUGUAUUUGGCACAAUACAUUGAAUGAAAUAAAGCUUAUUUAUUAAUAUCUCCAAGAAAUUACAGAUAUAUACAUACACAUGAGUUAAAAAACAAACAAACAGGAUGGAGCCUUCACAAAGGUUGCUCAUGUGAAGCCUCAGUACUCGGAAGUACCCCAGAAGGGGGAGGCACUGGAGAUUGAUCAUGUGGCACCCCAGUACUUAGCAAAACACCAGAAGGGGAAGGCAUCAGUUGCUUUCGGAAUCUAGCAACGAACCUCUGGUGAUCACUUUGAAUCCGACUUUCGGAUUCCUGCAGUUGGACGAGCUUUCUUUUCAUGCUCGUAGAGUAACUAUUUGCAAGCACGUGUAACACCCUAUUCUCGUGCUUGAGCCCUCUGAUCUCUUGUUUAAGACUUGCCACCUCCGCCAUCAAUGAUUCAACUUGGCGAGUUUGAGCAAGUAGGCGUUGGCCCAUAUUGGACACAGAGCCAGCACACUGAACACUGAGAGCCAAGGAGUCUUGAACGGCCGACUCUUCAGACCGUUCUGAAAGGAUCUUGUUAUCCCUUGGAGUGAGAAGAUUCCUAGCUACCACAGUAGCGGUUAUGUUAUUCUUCAUCAUAGAGUCCCCAACCGUAAGAGGACCAUUAGAAGAUAAGAAGGACGGGCGCCAUAUAUUAUCUUGACGCUGCUCGUCUGUAUCACUCCUAAGACUCAAAUCUAAGCAAAUGUUAGAUGGGCAAGUCAUUUUUCAGAAAUGAUGAAGGAAAAACAGAGGUCAAAUAAAAUUUCAGAAGUGCAAGAAGGUGGAAAUUUCUCAGGCAGCAACUUUCUGAGCAUACUCUUGAACACAAUUGAUGUCUCUAUAAAAGAAGAGGCAGCAGAGCCACUUGUUCAAAGAUCGAUGAGUCACCGCUCUCCGAAUUUCAAAAGCCAGAUUUUCCUGAAUAAAAUUCGUUGGCAUUUUUCAGACGUAAUCUCAGCUUUUCAGAUAUCGCGUGCAACUUUGUCAAAGAUCUCUGACAAAGUUGAAAACGCGUAAAUCUUACUGUUCUAUUUACACCACAGUUGCUGACAAGAGUAAAAGCACAGCACCACCACUUGCUAUUGAGAAAUCUCUAUAUAUGUCGACCUCUGUUCUCCAUAACAAGGCAGACCCGCAACACUGCAAGAAUACCUAACUCUUCCUCAUCUCCGAGAAUGCAUCUUCAACAUAGUAUUUCGAAAUACUCAGUUUUCUUCCUCUCCGAGAAUACCUCUUCAAACAUGUCACACCAGAGCAAGAUUAUCACAUAUCUUCAGGGACCAGAGCAAGAUUAUCUCAUAUCAUGCAAUCUCCCUGUCAUUUCAUUUGUCCUUGUUCUUGCCUACGAAGACAAGGAUAAAGAAAGCAAUAUGUCGGAACUUCCACUCAAACUCCCGGUAAGGAACCGACUGCCUGGAACCUUUCCUGAUUGCUUACCUAGUGUUGCUCUCGAGUAGUCAUCUUUAACGGUUGGAGCUGGGUCUCCAGUCACCAAGAAGUGAUGAACCAUUCAAAUGCAAGGGUUUGCAUUCCUCUCCUGCAUCAGGGGACAAAUCCUACAAGAGAAGAUGCCACACAUGCAUGGGGGAAAAGCAAGGAAAAUACUACUUAAGCAAGGGGAGCAAGUAAGGAAAGUGAAAAUGAUACAUUGAAGCAUGUGGAGACAAGCGCAACAAACGCGUGCUGAUUCAUCCCUAACAAAACUGAAGAUCACUUGCCACAUGAAGCUCCUCAUGGUCCAAUUUCAUUCAAGAUCAAUCCUCGAAGGUCCUUGAAGAAAUCACAAGUCCGAUUCAAGAUCAAGUGUCCACCACUUUUGAAUCAAAUUCCACUCCAGAUAAAAGGAGUAAAUUCAGAUCUUCGAUACUAGUCUAGCAGAAAGUCCUACAACUCAGUUCAAGAAAAAGCCUGUGGAAAGUUAACAAGUAAAGCACCUCUUUCAGCAACUCUUCUUACUAAGAGACUAAAGCAGAACAAUCAACGAUCAACCUAAAUGAUUUGAAAUCAGGGGGAGAUACUCAUCAGGGGGAGCAUCUAAAACAGAUCAAGAUUUUAACGAGUCAAUCGAAGACUUGUAGCCAUCCAAGGGGGAGUGUUGUAGAAAUGGAUGUCCACUCAAAUAAUGGGCAAGUUGCCCUUCCACUAUUUAGCAUGUGAUUUACUUGUAUAAAAACAAGCCUUAUGAAACAUAACAAAGGGAUAGAUAGAUGUGAAGGGUUCACGGGAAAGAAAGAGAGGAAGGAAGGAAGAGGAAGAGAGAGAAAGAAGAGGAAGAGAGUGAAUAGAGGAAGAUGAGAGGAGAUAAUAGAGAGAGUUAUCUUUGUACUCCUAUUAUUCUAAAUUAUAAUGAAAGCACCACUGCUGCCCCGAGGACGUACUCCAGUCACACUGACUGUAGAGGAACCUCGUAAAUUUUGUGUCUUGUUUCAUUUAUUCCACUGCACCCACAGUCGAUUUUACAACAUAAAUCUUGUUCUGCUUAACCCCAUGCGUAGUGAUGAAUGCAAAUGUCACAUGUGUCCCGACUACUAAGUCAACAGAUGUCUACACUCUACAUACACCAUGAGGGGCAGUUUAGUCAUUUCCCAUCUAGAAGGUUAAAAUACUAUAAUUUAGGCCACAAAAAAAUUGGGUGCAAAAGAUUUGAACUCUCAUUUGAGGGUGGGGAGCAAAAAUGCACUAUUUAUUUAUUUGAAUUAGUUUCUAACUCGCUAUUUAUAAAAUUCGAAUAUAAAUUCUCUCACUUAGAAUUAAAGAAUAAUACUAAUAAACUAUACACUUAGGCACAAUUUUUUUUCUUGUUUUAUUUGGAUCUAAAAAUCGGAUCAGGAUCCUCUCCUGAGCAGAUGGAGAGGAUCCUCCUGACCAAGCCCAUCGGGCCGUUCAUUUUUUAUCCAACGGCUAUAAUUAUUAUAACUUUUAGAGGGGCCUCCUGUUUGUAACUGUUGGAUAAAAAAUGAACAGCCCGAUGGGUCUGGUCAGGAGGAUCCUCUCCAUCUGCUCAGGAGAGGAUCCUGAUCCCUAAAAAUCGUAAACAACUUACAUGACACCAAUAUAAAAACAAUUUAUAUAGAACGAGAACGGCACUCAUCAUGUGACGUCUCUCGUUUAAUAUACAUUUCUGCAACGUUUUAACGUCGCAUGACGAUUAACCUCACCACCAGUACACCGCCCCGUAUAACUUCUUCUUCACCAUUACACCGCCCCCAGCCGGAUGAAAAUCCCGCAUUCCUUAUAAUAUGUCAAGUAGGCGCUGCCUAGGGGAGUCUGAUCGGAGAGACAACUUAAAAGAAAGAAGCAAGCGGCUGGGGAGGAUGAGGAGGAGGAGGAGGAGGCGGAGUCCGAGUAGGAGAAGUGGAAGGGGAAGGGGAAGGGGAAGAGAGCGAUCCAUGGCCAACUGAAUAGUCACACACAACUGGAAGAGAGAGAGGGAGAGAGUCCUGGAGAGAGAGAGGGACCAUAGGAAAAAUGGGGAAGGGUCCCUUCUCUUUCAAGCGCAGCAGCAGCAGCAUACGACGCCGCCCCAAGAAGUUCAUUGGCCCUCCUUCUACUGUUUUUCCCUCUACGCCUCAGCCGAUUCAGUCUCCUUCGCCCUCCAACAAUGUUAAUAUUAGCAAUACCAAUACCAAUAGUCUGAGUGCAGUAGUUGCUGGCGAUGCCGGCGGUGGCGUGAAGGGGAAGAAGAAGGCAGGAGCCAGGCUUUGGAUGCGAUUUGACCGCUUCGGCGUGUCAGAGCUCGUCGAGUGCGAAAAGAACGCUAUCAUUCGACGCACGGCCAUUCCCGCCCGGGACUUGAGGAUUCUCGGCCCUGUCUUCUCCCAUUCAUCCAGCAUCCUUGGUACUCCUACAUAUUUUAUUAAGUUAUGCACCUACAUUAGGGUUAGGGUUUUGCAAUCAUCUUACUUUAUAUGUUAACUCUCUUCUGGGUUUUGCAAAUUUUAUUACUUUAUAUGUUAGUUCACUCGUUCUCCUUUGAACAAUGCCUUUCUAAGUUAUACUACUUAUGAAUACAACUUUAAUGUAUGUUAUCUUAUAGAAAGUAUUCUCUGCAUGAGUUGCUAGUGUUUUAAUUAUAAACUGUGUGUGCCAUAGUAGACCAUGAUAAGUAUGUAUUCCUCAUUUCAAUUGCAGCCAGGGAGAAGGCCAUGGUGGUUAAUUUAGAGUUUAUAAAGGCCAUAGUUACAGCCGAAGAGGUUUUGUUGCUUGAUCCUCUUCGGCAGGAGGUUAUUCCAUUUGCGGAUCAGCUAAGGCAACAGCUUCCUCAGAAAAGCCAAUCCAGGAUACAAGAAGCAAGUCCACUCGGUGAAGAAGAUAAUGGAAUGGAUGUUUCAACCGGAAGGCAACGGUUACCUGUUCCCGAGGCCGUUGAAGGUUUGCAGUGUGAUCUCCCAUUUGAGUUUCAGGUUCUGGAGGUUGCAUUAGAAGUUGUCUGUACAUAUUUGGAUUCUAGUGUGGCAGACCUUGAGAGAGAAGCCUACCCUGUGUUAGAUGAACUGGCCAGAAAUGUUAGCACCAAAAACCUUGAACUCGUGAGGAUUUUGAAAAGCAAUCUUACCCGUUUGCUUGCACGCGUCCAGAAGGU
rnacentral:lncRNA from 1 species